rnacentral:misc_RNA from 2 species
AACGCACAUUGCGCCCCCUGGUAUUCCGGGGGGCAUGCCUGUCCGAGCGUCAUUACAACCCUCAAGCUCAGCUUGGUGUUGGGCCCCGCCGCCCCGGCGGGCCCUAAAGUCAGUGGCGGUGCCGUCCGGCUCCGAGCGUAGUAAUUCUUCUCGCUCUGGAGGCCCGGUCGUGUGCUCGCCAGCAACCCCCAAUUUUUUUCAGGUUGACCUCGGAUCAGGUAGGGAUACCCGCUGAACUUAA